GAAUUUUGGGAGUGGGCUUGGGGUUGGGUGGGAGGAUAAUACAUGCAGGAAACUGGUUUUUCUUCAGCAUUCUCCAUUGGAGACUACGUGAAUACACAAAUGUGAGUUAAUGCAGUGAUCAUAAUCAAUAUUUUUUUAAUGUGAGGGCUGAUUAGAGAUCAGGGUUAGUUACAAAGGGGACUAAGGUAUUCUGGUGUUUGGAUUCACCUCUACACGUCUGACACCCCUACUUUUUCACCUGGGAGAGUUUAUUUACAAAGAUGUAACUGCAGAAGUUUGGGAUGCAGAAAAAAAUGAGUGAUGGGAAUACAGAGUGGAUCUCCCGCCACCCCCCGGAAAAAAUACAAAGCAGUGGAAAAAAAGGGAGUGUUGGAAACAUGAUGGGCUCUCAGCAACCCAACCUGCCCCUCCUUUGCCCCUGAAUCUCUCUGCCCUGAUUUGUUAGAAUUGGAGCAGGGGGGAGAGAGAGAGAGAGAUUACUGGCAGCAUGAUACCCUUAGAAACCACUGGAUAACAGAGCAGAGAUUUGCUAUGAAAAAGAUAUUUGUUUCACCUCUGAGUAUACACCUACUUCACAGGGAGCUUAGAGAGUAGGUGCUGGGUGGGGAGCACAAAGGGCAACAAAGGUCCUUAGAGUGUCAAAGUCUGAGAGUCAUUCAUUGCCCAUUCAUUUCAUUUAGGCAUUUCACUGUCCAGAAUGCCUAAAGUCUGGGAGUAAAAAAGAGGCACAAAGGCCUGGAGACAAGACAGUAUGGGUCUGGAUAUUGCUCCCAUUCCUCUAUGUGAUGGGGCAUCCACCACACACUGGCAGAGGAAGGGUUAAAAACAGCCUAGGGAGGCUGCUCAGGGAGCAGCCAAACCAAGAGAGGCUGCAAGAAGCAGCCAAUCAGGGCCCAGCAGGCACAUAUAAAAGAGCUGCUGAGCCAAAAGUGGCCAGUUGCUUCUGGGAACUCAAGGGGUGGGCAUUUUCUCUCUAGCAGGCUGACACCUGUGGUACCUUGAACAGAGCAUCUGCUGGCAGGGACCAGGGGAACAAGAGGAGCUCCUGACUGGCUACUGGGGCUGGAUAGUGCAUGUCUGAGGAAGGCUGAAGAAGGUGCUAGGGCCAUGGGAAAGUUGCCCAGGGGGAAACAGCAAUAGGGGGAGAGAGAGAGAGGUUAAAGAGAGGCAGCAGGAGGCUGCUAGCUAGCGGGUUCCUGGGCUGGGACCCGGUGUAGUGAGUGGGAUCAGGUCUCUCCUCCCCCCCCCUCCACUGGGGAAGUGGCUGGACUCUAGAACUGAGACACCUCCCCCCUGGAAGGGGGAAAAUAGAGUGAAACUGCCAAAGGGCCAAGUCAAGAAGAAGAUACUGCAGUACUUGGACUGAGGCAGGUCUGCAGGUGGUGACCAUGUUGAGUGAGGCACCACCAGGAAAGUCCUCACUGGCUAGCAAGGCUAAUCCCCGUGAUGGCCAGCAGGAGCGAGUGGAUGUUUGUGGAAACUGGGAGCCUGUAUGAAGGAGGAACUAGAGCCCAAAUAUUUCUACUGUUUGGACUCCAUCUGGCAGACUGACAGGAAUACCCCCGUUAUCUGUAUCUGUGGAGUCCUGCAACGGAAAUCAAGGAGCAGAUCUAUGCAUAUUUACUUCAGCUGAUGACCUGGUCCUGUUUUCAUACUGAAGAUAAGAGUGUGACCAUAAGAACAUCUCAGUGCCAAUUGGUAAAGGGU